rnacentral:rRNA from 1 species
UGAGGAAUAUUGGGUCAAUGGGCGAGAGCCUGAACCAGCCAAGUAGCGUGCAGGACGACGGCCCUAUGGGUUGUAAACUGCUUUUAUAAGGGAAUAAAGUGGGUCACGUGUGACUUUUUGCAUGUACCUUAUGAAUAAGGACCGGCUAAUUCCGUGCCAGCAGCCGCGGUAAUACGGAAGGUCCGGGCGUUAUCCGGAUUUAUUGGGUUUAAAGGGAGCGUAGGCCGGAGAUUAAGCGUGUUGUGAAAUGUAGUGGCUCAACCUCUGCACUGCAGCGCGAACUGGUCUUCUUGAGUACGCACAACGUGGGCGGAAUUCGUGGUGUAGCGGUGAAAUGCUUAGAUAUGGCGAAGAACUCCGAUUGCGAAGGCGGCUGACGGGGUGCGUAACUGACGCUCAUGCUCGAAAGUGCGGGUAUCGAACAGGAUUAGAUACCCUGGUA